AGGAGGUCUGAACUCUGAAGCCUAUCCUGGAGGCUACAGUCACAAGGCAGGGAACAACCCAGGACAGUGGAGAAUGUCAAAAUAUUCAGGAAAAUGGGAAGUAUUCACCAAGUAGAUCACUUGGACCAUUAUGGAAAUACACAGCCAUACACCUUCCCUGGGUUUUUACUAACUACUCCUCAUCAUUAAAGGCCAGUCUUAUAAUGAGACCUGAUUACACCAUUAUUUGCCCUUAAUGACACAAACCAGGAUGCAGACUCUAUCUUCCAAACAGCAUGGUGUGCUGCUAUACCUGUUAAUCCACAAAGACAAAGUCCACAACACAAAAGGUGCUUUGAUAGAUAGCAAUUACAGCAAAGAAAUAAUACAGAAAUUCAGGUACUACAUAAUAUGGUGCUUAAAGACCUAGGAGAGGGCUACUCGUGUUAAGGGUCCUGUUAUGUUUACAUUUUCACACAAAUAUUAGGAAUGGCAACAUCUGCAAGCAACAGGAUAAACUUUAGCUCCUUUUUUGUUUUUAGUAUUUUUUUCCCAAUGUUAAUUGUAUGGAAUCAGAUUUGUGGCAAUAUUAUCAAGCAAAAACCAGGCUUCGAGAAGAAAAAAAAACUAACUGAAGCAAAAGAAAUGUCAUCUCAAAAGUAAAAUUUAUAACUUGCAAACACGAUUGGUGUUUUGAUAAUGUUGCUGCCAGCUUUCUCACUUGCGCUGCCUGACUUUCUCGUGUGGGCAGGUUUUUUCAGGGACGCGUCCCCAUGUAAAAGCACUGUACUCUCCUUAACAGGAAAUAAAAGUGGAAAAUGAGGUUAACAUUAGCAAGUUAGCUAACGUUAAAUAGGUAAAAGCUAACUUACAUAGCAAAGCUUAACUUCACUUCUAAUUUAGCACAAUAAAAUGUAUAGUGCAGCACAAACAACAUCAACAUUUAAAUGUAGCCCCAAUAAACAUUUUUUCUUCUUGAAGCCUUGUUUUUGCUUGAUGUCAAAAAAGUUUUGCUUGAUAAUAUUGGCACAAAUCUGAUUCCAUAUAAUUGGAAAUGUCAGUCUUGCUUACUUAUGGUGCUUUUUCACUGGCAUAUAGGAGCCAGGCUAUACUCGACCUGUACUGCAAAGAGAGAUUAGUUACAGUGCAAUUCCAGCCCAUGUUUGGUUUUCCACUGCAGAAGGGUCGGCUCAGUGAAGGUGUUGGAGAGCAACAGUGACAUAAAACCAAAGAGACGCUUAUUUACCAUUCAUACAGUAUACAUCAUGAUUUAUUAUGUGCUAAUUUCCACUAGCAUGUCUAUGAGAAUCAUUGUGUUAUAUAAGCUUCAAACACUAACGGAAUUAGCAUUAGUUGAAGUUCCGAGUUAUUGAGUAUGCAUCAAUAUAUUGUGGUAUGUGAUGCUACUGAUAAUGGAUAAUACAGAGAAUGUGCACUUUCUUCUUUCAGAUAAUCCACACAUAUCAACGCAGAUCACGGUACCUCUGUGAAUUUCAACCAAUCAGAUGGUGGUGAAGCAACCAACUUUGUUUAGUGCAGGAGGUCCUCUGAUGAUGGUGCUGUUGUGAGACAGCAUGCCCCGAGAAAGUAUUGGGCAGUAAUCCAUCACACGCACGCCGGGUGGGGAGGAAAGAUGAUCGCCUGCUCCUUGGUGCUCAUUAGAGCUUGUUAGUGCUCUUCAGCACUCAUGCAACAAGAGCCAAAAUCCAGCUUCUCCAUGGAGGACGACCUACAAUUCACCCCCCAUCCCCCAUUCCCAGGGUUCAGCGCAUGCUCCCGCCAAUCACGGUGACCCUAUCAGCAUGCUCUUUCUCCAUCAUUGUCCAUCUUACCAUCUUUCCUCUUCCACUCUUCUUCUGUUUGGCCAUGAAGACCCUGGAUCCGAAGUACAGUUCCAUGUCGAAAGCUGAUCCAUCCAAAAAGGCUUUGCUCCUGUGAGGCCUCAUCGUCAGCCCCCCUACCUAGAGACACUCAGGCACGCUCUGUCCAAGCCUGCUGCAUGAAUACAAACAUUGCAUGUUUCCGAUACCCUGUCCUGUUUCGCUGAUUUCUGCUUUCACGCUGUGUUAAGUGAAAAAAACAAGGGGUAUGCAAAGCUAAUAAAGCGACUCUUUUGUUUGGCUGAAAAUGCCCUUUUUUCUCAUUACCUUCUGCUGCAGAGCAGAUGUGUGCUUAUCUUUCAGCCAUUAGUGCAGACCAGCUGUUGCUGGCACAGUGUUACAUGGGGGCCACCGGUGAUGACAUCAUCACAGCAGGACACAUUGCCAGGCAGGCAUCCAAAAGAAGAAUGGAUUAUGUUAGUUGGGGUUUUCCCUCAUUUUCCCUCGAACUUCUUUAGAACUUGUGUCCACAGUACAAAACAACUUACAGAUCCAUCAAUGGAAACUGUCCCCUAAUUGCCAGUGUUAAUUGAAUGCACUAAACUGGUUUCUGCUGUCACACUGAAUGAAUGUUCAUUAUGUUACAACUAUAACUCAGGUAAUAGGGAACGUUCCCAGAACUUUGGCCAACAUUAUGUGACGUUUGCAGAAAACGUUCUCACUAUGUUAUCUCCACAUUUUACAUUUUAAUAAAGGUUCUGUCGAUGUCA